rnacentral:lncRNA from 1 species
GGAGGGAAAUAAAUGACUGGAUGGUCGCUGCUUUUUAAGUUUCAAAUUGACAUUCCAGACAAGCGGUGCCUGAGCCCGUGCCUGUCUUCAGAUCUUCACAGCACAGUUCCUGGGAAGGUGGAGCCACCAGCCUCUCCCUGAAUUUGGGCAGUUGUCUGGACAUUAGGAGUUGAGUCACCUCCUACCCAUGAGGAACAAGCCUGUGGGGGGACUGAUAUUAUCACUUCUGUCAUCAAGAAAUAAGGCCGCAGGCAUCCCUGAAUAUAGAGCAUUUAUUAAUCGAACUGUGAAAAUGAAACACAGACAGUGAUGACAGCUGGAAGUUGGCCAAUGUCCUGUUGUCAUAUUGCCCUCAGCCUAGGGACUGGCCUGUGGCUCACUGACCCUGUCUCCCACUCUCCACCUCUCAUCAGCACCUGGACCUGGUGCACCUGGUCUACCUCAUGUCCAGUGUUUUCCGCAGUACCUGACUGGUAUCCCCACCCUUGGUUGUUGUGUGGUGAGCUCGUCCCUAUGUUGGCAAGUUACUUAAUUCCUAGGUGUCCCGCCUUCCUCACUGUAAAAUGAGAAUAGUCAUAGCACGAAUGUCAUGAAUCCUUGUGAAGAUUUUAUGAUUAGCACACGAGUUACAAGGAGACACGAUAACUGUUACGUACGUACUCAUUCGUUCGGAAAUACAACAGACAGCUUAGUAUCUCCACCCGGGUCCCUCUGCCCUGUGGGAAUCCAUAAAGAAUUGAUUCUCAUCCCCCAGAAGUGAGAUCCCGCUUGUGUCAUCAAUUACAUGGCAUGUUCUGCAUUUACAGGACAUUUAUUUAUUAGGUAAGUGGGGAAUCCUCCUUGGUUCUCUCCAGGAAAACCUGGAGUUCUAGAUAUCAUCAUCAUCAUCAUCAUCACUGUCAUCAUCAUUGACAUCAUCACAAUAAGUACUCCCAUUGUAUUCAGCCCUAACCGUAUGGUAGCAACUUUAUGGUAUUCCCUUUAACCUCCCCCCACCCCAAUAUCCAUCCUGGAAGAUGGGAAGGAUGAUAGGUUUGUUGACUCACUCAAGGCGGUGGGACUCUCCAGCAGGUAUCAGGCACAGCAUCUGCUUCAAAGAACACAUCGACGACAGGGGAGCCCCUUGCACUCACUCAGGACAGGAGAAUCAGGAAAAGCAGCAGAUCUGCAGGGCUUUGUGUGUAAUCCAACCAGACUGAUGCCACAGGCCAGGAAACCGAGGACGGUUGGCUUCAGACCUACCCUGGAGUGGAAGCAGCUGGAUUCUGUCCUCACGCUUCCUGUCUAAAGCCAGCUAGAGUAAAUUUCUAGUCAUCUAGAUUCUGGUUAUUUGGAAAUCAUCACAGUAUCUGGAGAUGACUCAUAUUGAAAAAAAUUAAAUAAGAUACACUUAAAACUUAA